rnacentral:misc_RNA from 1 species
AACGCACAUUGCGCCUGCUGGUAUUCCGGUAGGCAUGCCUGUUUGAGCGUCAGCAAAACCUCUCAAUGAUAAUUUUUAUUGUUGGUCAUGGGCCGCGGAGGAUUAGCUUUAACGGCUGCUCCCGCCUUAAACUUGCUGCACGACCGCAAGCUAAUGCUAGGUUAAUGAAGUGGUGUUUACAUUUAAAUUCAUAAACCGUUCAUGGCUUCUGUGGCGUUAAACCUGAUAGUCGUCUAACCGCGACCGAAGUUUUGACCUCAAAUCAGACAAGGAUACCCGCUGAACUUAA